rnacentral:rRNA from 1 species
CAGCCGCCGCGGUAAUACGGAGGGUCCGAGCGUUAAUCGGAAUUACUGGGCGUAAAGCGUGCGUAGGCGGCUUUUUAAGUCGGAUGUGAAAUCCCUGAGCUUAACUUAGGAAUUGCAUUCGAUACUGGGAAGCUAGAGUAUGGGAGAGGAUGGUAGAAUUCCAGGUGUAGCGGUGAAAUGCGUAGAGAUCUGGAGGAAUACCGAUGGCGAAGGCAGCCAUCUGGCCUAAUACUGACGCUGAGGUACGAAAGCAUGGGGAGCAAACAGGAUUAGAUACCCCCGUAGUCCCUGUCUCUUAUAC